rnacentral:lncRNA from 1 species
AACAACUGAAUUGCUGAUCAUGAGCGAUUUUUCUAGUUGAAGACGUCAUGACGGGCGUCACUGAGGUGACGGUCUGCGCAUCAUGUCCAUGACGAGCGUCACUCAGGUGACAAUUUGUCCGUCAUGGCAUUUGCACAUGCGCCCAUUGUUUUCUCUUCCCUGACUUACGAUGUGGCCAUUGUAGAGCUAUGACGACCAUCAUGACUGGAUUGCGCACGUCAUAACAGUCAGAACUUAGUAUAUAUUUUUUUUCUUU